rnacentral:sRNA from 1 species
ACCCCAGCCUUAUGGGUUUGUUUGGGGUUGCGGAGGGAGGAGCUACUAAAUAAGGUAUCUAGUUUCCUUCAAGCCAAAACUCAUACGGCUUUCUUUCCCCACCGGUCUUACAGAGAGGAAACUCUUCACGAAAUAUAGCCAUGACGGUUAACUGCCAAGUCACCUGAUAUCGAUCAUGAAUAGAAAUAACCUUUACGAGAUAUCCCGCCAGCAGCACAGUCCGUGAAAAAUUAAAGGGAGGGGUCAGGACUAUUGAUCUCAUUUGGUUCCUGGGACAUUUCAAACAGCCAGAGCGCCGUUGAGAGAACCGAAUUUUUUCCAGGUUGUUUCCCAACUCCUUGACAAGUGUCAUGUUCAACGAUCAAUUGCAGGGGUCCAAAACAGGUUUCUCGCCUCCCCAAAACCCCCGUACCAUUGACACUGCCGCACGACUCCGACCCCGACCCGUAACCCAGAGGAUGGAAGUUAGGAUGCUUGAUGUUGAAUGGAGUCCUCCGUUGAGCGCGCCACUUAUAAUAUAAUAAACCGAUCCUUUCUCAGUGUGAUGCUGGAGGAGGGUGUGUACUGCGGCUAAGCAUGGUGAAGUCAGCACCAACCUGCCAGGAUAUUGCCAGGCAGAUAGCAGGUUUCAAUUAUCAAUCUCUUUACGUCCGCGUAGAGGUCAGUGAGCAGUCGUUGAAGCAGAAUUCCAUAUAUAAUAGAGAUUUAUGAAAAUUUUACAGAUAUACAAAGCGAUAGAGAUACCUAUAUUCUAGAUAUCCAAAGGGAAAUCUAUGUUAUUGAGGUCCAACAGAAAGCCCCGCAUUAUAGCCCUCACAAAUAUAUUAAUUGUAGAGAUGGGAAUUAAGAUCCCGAAG